UACGUAGGGGGCAAGCGUUGUCCGGAAUUAUUGGGCGUAAAGCGCGCGCAGGCGGUCAAUUAAGUCUGGUGUAUAAACCAAGGGCUCAACCUUUGGACGCAUUGGAAACUGGUUGACUGGAGUGUAGGAGAGGAAAGUGGAAUUCCACGUGUAGCGGUGAAAUGCGUAGAGAUCCGGAGGAACACCAGUGGCGAAGGCGACACGCUGGGCCGUACCUGACGCUAAAGCGCGACAGCAUGGGGAGCAAACGGG
rnacentral:rRNA from 1 species